CCAAGCCCCCUUUCUCUCAUCGUCCCCAACAACUCUUCUUCAUUUCUUCAUCUCGUUCGCUCCGCCACUAACCUCCUGAGAGCGCAGUAGUUUCAGUUUGAAACUAAUCCAUCAAACCAAAUCUUAGUUUGAUUUCUAUUAGAUUUAGAUAGGUUUAUGUUUUCUGUUACUCGUCUCGAUAGGACCUAAAUUUUGUAUGACGAUGAAGAAGAUGGACCGUAGUGAUUUUUUUAUGCUAAAUCUCAUGCUUUUCCUUCUUCUUUGAUGAGAUUCGAGAGAGAGUAUGUUGUUCGAGAAGGAUGACUUAAUUAUGGAAUUUACUUCACCUGGCAGGGUUAGAUAAGCUUGUCUGCUUGUUUUAGUAGAUAAGACAGACACUUCUCAAGGGCAAAAUUACCACCCAAGACAAAUUGAAAGCGGUCCCUGAAGGGUAUCACCCUGCUUCUUAACCUUGUAAGUACUCUGUUUGACCCUUCUUCAAAAGUGGAAUUAAGUUGGGCAUCGUCACUGAAACUUAAUCAUUUGAUUUCAAAUGGACGACUAUGUCAAUUAAAAGAUGAAGUAGUUUUAGAUUGCAUCCUGGCAGUCAGGUGGAAGGCCACAAAGGAACAGAUGGAGUCAUAUAUAUUAGUGCAGUUGAAAAAAAUAUGUGAGUCAUGCAUUUUAUAACUCUUGGUAUUGUUCUUUAGUUCUAUGACUUCCCUAUUUUACUUGGAUACUGGAAGGAACGGCUCUGCAUGACUUCCCUUCUGAACUUUCCUGGAAAAGAAGAGAGAAAAAUUGUCCAACGAUAAGAGUCAUGCAUUUUAUAACUCGAACAAGUUCUUUGAGAUGAAGAAAUAGCAAGCUGCAACCAUCGCUGGAGCACGUGACUCCUCGUGGUUUGAAAAAAAAGAAUGAUGUAAAAGCUACGAUAAAGUCUGAAAAGACAAUUAGAGAAGCUGGGCCCUUGAGAACGCAAGUAAGAUCUGUUAUAUCUUUGUUCCUCUUUUGAUGAUGUUAUGAAUAAACAAGUACUUUGUUGCUCUUUUGAGUAGGUCACACGUUAGUGCGUGUUUGGAUGAAGUGUCAAACGAUGUGUCUUGUGCUUCAAAACUCAAAUAGGUCAUGUUACACCAGUAGUUGGUAGUCACCAAUGCUUUUAACAUAACAUUAAGGAAGUGCUUUAGCACUUUGUAGUAACUAGAUCGUGUUUACAUUAUUUCCAUAAUUUAGAUCUCGUUUCAUGGAGUGGCUAUUGUGAACUACAAGCUACUGAAAUAGAUAGAAAUAUUAUUGUUCAGUUGUAUUUUUGAUACAGAAAGAAAAAGGCUCCAACUUCCAGGAAAAUAUAUUAGGAAUUAUGCAUGCAGAGCCAUGUUCAUAUCUUUGUUAAAGUUUACAGUAUGUUAUUUGCAGUCUGCAUUCUCUUCAUCUUUUCUUUUGUUAAAGUUGGUUUUAUGAGUCACAAGGAUAUUCUGAUAGGGAUAGUCGAUUUGAUUUUGUUGAACUUAUGGUGUGGAAGACUUGUGGGCUCUAGUUUAUGGUCAGGUAUAUUAAAGACUAGGCAAUUUGUGAAAGAGAAUAUUGGUUUACUGAUUCAACGGUGCAGAGAACGGAACUCAAAACCACCUUUUCUUGUGCCGUACAAAAACCAGGAAGUUGUGGCAUUACUUUCUGUGCAGUUUUGGUGUUCAGUGGGUCUUCUCUAACAAUGUCAAGAGCAACAUAUGGGACUGGUCUAGUGUAUCUCACUUGAAUGCUGUCCUAUCUAUCUGAUGUGUGCUAAAACUUUUUGAUAGUGGACGGAACCAUCACAUGGUCACUACUCCCAUCAUUCAGAGAAGGCAAUGAUGGUCCUUGAAUUGCAGAGAAAGAACACAGUUUGUUUGGUGUAUUUAGUUGUAAAAUGGUGCGAAAAUAAUGUAUAAAAUUAAGCGUGGUUCACUACACAGCUUAUUUGUUGGCCUGGUGGUUCAGUGUUUUUACUUUUGCGAUCUAGAAGACCUAGAUAUAUAGGUAGUGGUAUCGAUUCUCACCACCUCCUGACCUUUAUUUUUUCUUAUAAAUCAGAUGGUUAGCUGUUGGGUUUACAAUGGAAAAAGCCGGACAAUUUUAAUAAGCGGGACCACCGGGACAAGUUUUUAAUAAGUGGGACCAGUUUUGCCUAGUGUGGUGAUCCACGUGCUUCUUUUGUUUGUGUUUGCCUGAAUUUUUUUUGAAA